GAUGAACGCUGGCGGCGUGCUUAACACAUGCAAGUCGAACGAUGAAGCCCAGCUUGCUGGGUGGAUUAGUGGCGAACGGGUGAGUAACACGUGAGCAACCUGCCCCUGACUCUGGGAUAAGCGCUGGAAACGGCGUCUAAUACUGGAUAUGUCCCGUCACCGCAUGGUGUGCGGGUGGAAAGAUUUUUCGGUUGGGGAUGGGCUCGCGGCCUAUCAGCUUGUUGGUGAGGUAAUGGCUCACCAAGGCGUCGACGGGUAGCCGGCCUGAGAGGGUGACCGGCCACACUGGGACUGAGACACGGCCCAGACUCCUACGGGAGGCAGCAGUGGGGAAUAUUGCACAAUGGGCGGAAGCCUGAUGCAGCAACGCCGCGUGAGGGAUGACGGCCUUCGGGUUGUAAACCCCUUUUAGCAGGGAAGAAGCGAAAGUGACGGUACCUGCAGAAAAAGCACCGGCUAACUACGUG
rnacentral:rRNA from 1 species